UCCGAGGACCCCCGCGGCUCCCGCAGCGCUCAGGUUGCAGCCGCCGCCACCCACCUCCCCCCCCCCAAAAAAAAAAAAAAAAAGGAAAAAAAAAAAAAAAAAAAAAAAAGCCGCGGCCGGAGGGUUUGAAGCGCUCGGCGCUUGCCCACAUCGCGCGGAGGCAGCCCGCGGGCCCGAUCCCGCCCUGGCAGCCGCCGCUCCCUCUUCCCGCCGCCUCACGCGCUCCGCCGCACCGGCUCCGCGGCAGCGGACCCCGGCGACCCCCCUCCCCUCUCACCCGUCCCCGUCCCCCUUUUUCUCCCCAAUCGUGUGUGUGUGUGUGUCCCCCCCCCGCUCCCCACCCCCGCCCGGGCUUGCGAACAGCCUGUGGCGGAGCGGAGCCGAGCGGUGCUGUGUGGGCGCAUCUCGGGGCGGAUCGGGGCCCGGAGUCGCCGUACGCUGGUCAUUUUGAAAAAAAAAAAAAAAAAAAAAAAAAAAAUCUCUCCUAGGAACUUGAACGGAGCGAGGUUCAACUCCGAGAGCGCUCCCGCCUCGGCUGCUCGCAGUGCUUGGGGGGGGGGGGGGGGAGGAGGAGGAGGAGGAGGAAGAGGAAAACGCGAACUUUCAUUUUAACGCCGCAACCCCCCCCCACCCCACCCCACCCCGCCGCCCCAAAUUCUGACUGAUCCUAAGGUACCUGAAAGUUGGGUUAGCGCUCCUAUCCCCAUUUCACAGAUGGGGAAACCGAGAUGGAGGUUGCGAGCUGCCGAAAGCCAGGGAGGGAAGGCAGGCUACAGUGCCGCCCGAACCACUACUCUGCACUUGACUUUUGACUGCUGGAGGUUCCUUUCCUGUGAGCUCUCCUCGGGCUGUGCGGACCCCUGCCUUUGUAGAGAGACCGAACGCAUCCCUGCGAGCGGCUCCUCGGGAUUUUUGACUUCGGUGCUGCUUUUUUUUUUUUUUUUUUUUUUUUUUUUUUUUUUAAAAAAUCGGAGUCGCAUUUAAAAAGGGAAAGGAAAGCGGUCAGAAGCAGAGGCCUCAGACCUGCAAGCUGUUGUUCCCAUGGCUUUGGAGAAGAUUUUCAAAAGUACAUCAUGAGAGUUUGGGAGCUCUGCUCCCACCGACUUUCAAAAUCUUCCCUUCACGUCUAUGAGCUAGUCCUCUUAAACUCUGUUGGACUACUUGCAGACGAACGUUAACAGGCUCAGGGCCUAAUGCUUCUCAUGAUUCCACUGCUCCCUUCUAGAGCUGCACUGAGAAAAAUAUAAGCAGAGCAAGUUUUGAAGGGAGAGGUAAUUUCUCUCUCUCUCUCUCUCUCUCUUUUUUUUUUUUUUUUUUUUUUUUUUUUUUUUUUUUACCAACUGAGACAGUUGAAAACAGCAAGCUUUUGGGCUCAAAAACCUUAGUCCAUCAUGGCUACGAAAACUACUGCUACUCAGAAAAUAUGUAAUUCUGGAGCUCCUUAGUGAAAAAGUAGUGCAUGGCAACAUGACAUCAGAGCAGUUGCCAAGUGAUCUUCUCCACAGCACCCAUGAACUUCAGCCUUGAACUGGACUCAUCAAUGGCUUAGGAGGGACAGCAUGGAAUUGGAAGAGAAGCAGGGAUCUCCAUGAAAGGCAGACAACUACAGUCUUGGUGUGUGGAGGAACAGGUCCUGUUCUUGCUGUUGUUACUCCCACAUAGGCGGACUCUGUAACUGAUUAUGUGUGGGUAGGGCCCUAUUGAAAUUAAGGAGAUUCUGCAAUAGUGCAGGGUUCUUUUUGUGAAAGUUCAGUUGCAAGAUCAGGACCCUACUGUGACUCCUUACUGUGAAUUCUGUCAGUGUAUCAUUGAUUGUGCUGGAACCUGCCUUUUGGGAUAAUUACCAAAUAAUAUAUUCCUCAAAACUUCUUAAUGGCACUGAGGCUUUGUGGAUAGUUGGUCACAUGAUGAGAAAAUUCAGCUGUCUACUUCACCUGCAGUGCUGAGCUGUUAUGAUAGUUUGUUUUUUAUGACUUGCGUCAAGCGUGAAGCUUUCAGAACCACGUGUCAAAGUCAUUCUUCGCCAUAAAGAAACAAAGAGCGUUGGGGAAAACAGCUGAAGGAGAAGAAUGUGUCCUCAGGAUUAGCAUUUCUUCACUUUAAUAGAUGCAUCAGCAAAGUACAAUGUGGUUUGUUCUUGAAUUAAACCAUUCAGUCUUUGGACCUAAUCCUGAACCACAUUGCUACUUUAGGUGGUGUUUUGCUUCUCAAAAGAUCAUGGACUGCUCAUUCUUUGUGUGGCUCAUGAAGGUGACAAGGGGAACUGUUGCGGUUCUGGAUUUGUAUUGCAUUUGGGGGUCAAACUCCAGUAUAACACUAACCAUCCCUAAAGGGGGAGGAAGGAGCGGUGUACACGUCCUCUGCUGCCCCGUGGUCCAGGCAGGGAGACUGUCUGCCCCGGAAAAAAGCACGGCGAGCUUUCCUCAAGUGGCUGUGUUCAGCUCUGCCCCGCAAGCAGAAGUGCAGACGGGCGGGUUGGUUCAGGUUUCCGGGACCUCCCGGUUCCCUCCGCAGCAUUUCACUUCCCAGCGUUGCCCCUGCCUGUGCUCCCCUUGCACACCAGGCACUUCCAGCGCUCCCCGGCCCCCAGUGCCCCGAGAAAACGGGCACCCUUCCCCGCUUGCAAAUGUGGGCCUUCCAGACCUCUUUGAGCCGACACGGGAUGGGAGAACUGAAGGGACAGAGCUGUUGAGUUAUCUGCCCAAAGCCAUAAAGGAGGCUGGUGACAAACCCAGGAAUAGAAGCCAAGUCUCCUAAAUUGCAGCCUAAUGCCAUCUAAUACUGUGAUCAACAAGAAAGUUUGCCUUCUGAUGUUACAAUGAGGCAAGCAGAAGUGUGCGUCCUUUGUUAUUGCCUUGCAUACAAGAUGAAUGCAACAGCUUCCACACCCGAUUAGAAACACUUCACCUGACACAUCUUAGUGCUGUAUUUACCUUUCUUCUACCUUCAUUGUGGUCAUCUUCCAGUUGACUAGUCCAGCAAGAUUUAUCUUCUCCUCAGCCCUUUCCAGAAGUGCUACUACAAAGGACUAUUUGCUACGGUGACAUGACGCUCCACCAAAACUCCUCCUGGAAUCAAAAGGAAAUUUACUUGAGGAAAAAUAUGAAAACAAGCUCCAAGGCUUGGCCGCCAGAAGCACAUUAAGGUCUUUAUCAGUCUUUUUCGGGAUGAACCCCCAAGGCAUGGCUGUGAUGGCUGUUUGAAACAAGAAACAGAUACCGUCUCGGUGUUAUUCAUUUCACUGAUCACUGGGAAUUUGAGCCUGAAUGAAGGUGGAGGAAGACUCCUAUGGAGGACUGGGAACGGUUUGUCCCUUAAGAAGGGUAUAAUGUCAUGUUUAAUGUUUUUACCAAAUACCGGGGCAUGUGAUAAAAGUUUAUGGAUUGGGAAUUAAUUGAAAGGUUGUGACAUGGGAACGAAUGAGCAUUACGGGAAGCCUUGGAGAGCUACAACCUAAGCACCCUGAAAUUUGCGACCAACCCCCCAGAAUGUCUCUUGAGGUAUUGGAACCGUCUCAGAUGACUGUUAUUUUUGAUAUAAUUUGCCAGCCCCAGUAAGCUCCCCCGGUCAGACUGGGAAAAGGUGCUCCUUUUAUUAAUGCUUGUCCAGGGGACUAAAGUAUAUUCUGGGUAGUGAAACAUUUAGUUCAUGAAAUUAGCUACAGAAUUCAGAUUUAAAAAGGAAAGGCAGCAUGAGUUUAUACCUGACAGGUGGUACAUGUUUUAAAAAAUGCUGUUCAAAAGAUAAUGUGCUUAUAUCUAACCUCUGUUAUCUGCAACAUAAAGGUUUACGAUUUUAUAUGUAUUAAAUAACACAUCUAUAUGAUGUAACGCGAAAUGCAUAAUUAAAAUGACUAUAAAUAUAGAGCUAUGUAAAUAUUAUCCAA